CCGAUCGAUUGUGUUGGAGUUUGUACUUCUUUCGUUGCCUUUAUCAUGUUUGUAGAAAGACAAUUUUCAUGUAUAGAUACUGUGAACUUCACCACUUAGUGCCAAUCGUCCGUCUAACUACUGGCGAUACCGGGGAAAAAGAUAAAGCAGUGAGAGAGUAUUUACUCCUAGUGCUCGUACAGUUAAAGUGGUUGCGGAGGUAGCUUUGAAUGUAAUAUGCAACUCACCUCAGUUAAUGGUGGAUACAAAAACGAUUAGUAGAUGAAAGAUUUUCGCAUAUUACAGUUUCAAUGUGUUUUGUAAUUUUUGGAAUCUUCUAUCCAAAAUCAAUAUCAAAUCACAAUACAAAUGAUAGGUGGGGCUGGACCAACAUAUAUAAUAUGUACAAACGGUGUAGCCUCAAAUUUGAUGAAUAAAUGCAUAUGCAUUUGUCACUAAUAUGUAGAUUAGUCAAUUCAAAAUCUAUAAGAAAAUGCUUAUUUCUUAAGAAAUCUUAUAGUUUAAAAAAUAAUGUCUGAUAUGUAUGUAGAUUAACCAA